UACGAAGGGUGCAACCGUUGCUCGGAAUCAUUGGGCGUAAAGCGCACGUAGGCGGCUAUCUAAGUCGGAUGUGAAAUCCCUCGGCUUAACCAAGGAAGUGCAUCCGAAACUGGAUAGCUUGAGUACUGAAGAGGAUAGCGGAAUUCCCGGUGUAGAGGUGAAAUUCGUAGAUAUCGGGAGGAACACCAGUGGCGAAGGCGGCGAUCUGGGCAGAUACUGACGCUGAGGUGCGAAAGCGUGGGGAGCAAACAGG
rnacentral:rRNA from 1 species